rnacentral:rRNA from 1 species
UGGGGAAUUUCGGACAAUGGGCGCAAGCCUGAUCCAGCCAUGCCGCGUGAGUGAAGAAGGCCUUCGGGUUGUAAAGCUCUUUCGGACGGGAAGAAAUGGCGGGCUCUAGCAUAGCCUGUCGAUGACGGUACCGUAAGAAGAAGCACCGGCUAACUACGUGCCAGCAGCCGCGGUAAUACGUAGGGUGCGAGCGUUAAUCGGAAUUACUGGGCGUAAAGCGUGCGCAGGCGGUUUUGUAAGACAGAUGUGAAAUCCCCGGGCUUAACCUGGGAACUGCGUUUGUGACUGCAAGGCUGGAGUACGGCAGAGGGGGGUGGAAUUCCACGUGUAGCAGUGAAAUGCGUAGAGAUGUGGAGGAACACCGAUGGCGAAGGCAGCCCCCUGGGCCUGUACUGACGCUCAUGCGCGAAAGCGUGGGGAGCAAACA